rnacentral:ncRNA from 1 species
CGAUGUCGCGCGGGAGAGCUCCCUUCGAUGGGAGCGCCGAAGGAGCAACUCCUCCCCGGAAUCUCUCAGGUACAAGUACCGCGCGACGAAG